GGAUUAGUUUCUUGUUCUAUGAAUUAUGAAUAAUGAUUCGUAGUUCGAUUAAUUCAAUCCCGGGGCGUUCUACAUAAUUGCAUACUAAUUUGUGUUUGGUUAAUUCCAUACAUUGUGGAAUGCAAUUGGAGCGUACCCUGAGCAUAUAUGCUGUGACCCGAAAGAUGGUGAACUAUGCUUGAUCAGGUUGAAGUCAGGGGAAACCCUGAUGGAGGACCGAAACAGUUCUGACGUGCAAAUCGAUUGUCAGAAUUGAGUAUAGGGGCGAAAGACCAAUCGAACCAUCUAGUAGCUGGUUCCCUCCGAAGUUUCCCUCAGGAUAGCUGGUGCAUAAUGAAUUUGAUAUAAAAUAAUCUUAUCUGGUAAAGCGAAUGAUUAGAGGCCUUAGGGUCGAAACGACUUUAACCUAUUCUCAAACUUUAAAUGGGUAAGAACCUCACCUUACUUGUUAUGAAGGUUGAUCCACUUCAAGCAAUUGUUGUGGAGAAGAUGGUUAUGAUAUAUGUGCCCAGUGGGCCACUUUUGGUAAGCAGAACUGGCGCUGUGGGAUGAACCAAACGUAAUGUUACGGUGCCUAAAUUAACAACUCAUACAGAUACCAUGAAAGGCGUUGGUUGCUUAAAACAGCAGGACGGUGGACAUGGAAGUCGUAAUCCGCUAAGGAGUGUGUAACAACUCACCUGCCGAAGCAACUAGCCCUUAAAAUGGAUGGCGCUUAAGUUGUGUACCUAUACAUUACCGCUAAAGUAAAUGAUCUACAUUAAAUUCAUAUAAUGUGAAUUGAUGUCGAUUUUGAAACUUUAGUGAGUAGGAGGGUACGAUGGUGUGCUUAGAAGUGUUUGGCGUAAGCCUGCAUGGAGCCGCCAUUGGUACAGAUCUUGGUGGUAGUAGCAAAUAAUCGAAUGAGACCUUGGAGGACUGAAGUGGAGAAGGGUUUCGUGUGAACAGUGGUUGAUCACGAGUUAGUCGGUCCUAAGUUCAAGGUGAAAGCCGAACAUUAUAUAUAUAAAUGUGUAUAUAUAUGUAUUUGAACGAAAGGGAAUACGGUUCCAAUUCCGUAACCUGUUGAGUAUCCGUGUUUGUUUAUUAAAUGUGGGCCUUGUGCUCAUCCUGGUAACAGGAGCGACCAUAAAGAAGCCGUCGAGAGAUAUCGGAAGAGUUUUCUUUUCUGUUUCAUAGUCGUAUUACCAUGGAAGUCUUUCGCAGAGAGAUAUGGUAAAUGGACUAGAAGAGCAUGACAUUUACUGUUGUGUCGAUAUUUUCUCCUCGGACCUUGAAAAUUUAUGGUGGGGUCACGUGUAAACUUCUCAACAGGCCGUACCAAUAUCCGCAGCUGGUCUCCAAGGUGAAGAGUCUC
rnacentral:rRNA from 1 species